UACGUAGGCAGCGAGCGUUGUUCGGAAUUACUGGGCGUAAAGAGUGUGUAGGCGGUGCUCCCAGUCUGUUGUGAAAUCUCCCGGCUUAACUGGGAGGGUGCGCCGUAGACUGGUGGGGCUAGAGUGUGGGGAGAAGGAAAGUGGAUUCCUGGUGUAGCGGUGAAAUGCGUAGAUAUCAGGAGGACACCGGUGGUGUAAACGGCUUUCUG
rnacentral:rRNA from 1 species